AGUAAACGCUGGCGGUAGGCCUAACACAUGCAAGUCGAACGGCAGCACAGUAAGAGCUUGCUCUUACGGGUGGCGAGUGGCGGACGGGUGAGGAAUACAUCGGAAUCUACUUUUUCGUGGGGGAUAACGUAGGGAAACUUACGCUAAUACCGCAUACGACCUACGGGUGAAAGCAGGGGAUCUUCGGACCUUGCGCGAUUGAAUGAGCCGAUGUCGGAUUAGCUAGUUGGCGGGGUAAAGGCCCACCAAGGCGACGAUCCGUAGCUGGUCUGAGAGGAUGAUCAGCCAACCUGGAACUGAGACACGGUCCAGACUCCUACGGGAGGCAGCAGUGGGGAAUAUUGGACAAUGGGCGCAAGCCUGAUCCAGCCAUACCGCGUGGGUGAAGAAGGCCUUCGGGUUGUAAAGCCCUUUUGUUGGGAAAGAAAAGCAGCAGGUUAAUACCCCGCUGUUCUGACGGUACCCAAAGAAUAAGCACCGGCUAACUUCGUG
rnacentral:rRNA from 1 species